rnacentral:tRNA from 1 species
GGGGUCAUAGCUCAGUUGGGAGAGCGCCUGCCUUGCAAGCAGGAGGUCGAGAGUUCAAAUCUCUCUGGUUCCACCA